rnacentral:misc_RNA from 1 species
UCUUCCUCAUACUCCGGUUCUUUUCUUCCUUGUCCCCCUCCCCCUCCCCCUCCCCGUGUGUUGUGGUGCGUGGCCGCGCUCUACCCCUCCCCCCAUCCCCUGCCCCCCUGGCACAACGCGACUCCGCUUGAAAUCUUCGCUCCUCCGUUGUCAUCAUCGCUUCGCCCACCCAGCGAGACAGUUUAGGCCACCACCACCACCACCACCUUCCCCAAGCACAAUGUCCGGCGAGAAGGAGCUGACAGAUGCGGAGAAGACCAUUGAGCGGUACAAGGUCAAGAAGCUCAUUCAGAUGCUCGAAUCCGCGCGUGGUAUGGGUACUAGCGUGAUCAGCGUGUACAUGACGCCGAAGGAGCAGAUUGCCGGCAUGGUGGCGAAGCUCAACAACGAGUACGGCACGGCGUCGAACAUCAAGUCUCACACAAACAAGCUGAGCGUGCAGAGCGCCAUCACGGCAGCCCUUGGCCGCCUCAAACAGAUUCCGCGUGUGCCGGCGAACGGCCUGCUGCUGUACUCCGGCACCGUGAUGACGGCCGACAACAAGGAGAAAAAGCUGACGCUUGAUAUUGAGCCCUUCAAGGCCGUCAGCCGCAGCCUCUACCUGUGCGACAACAAAUUCCACACGGAAGAGCUGCGCCGCAUGCUCGAGUCGGACGACAAGUUCGGCUUCAUUAUCAUGGACGGUAGCGGCUCCACCUUUGCAACGGUGUGCGGAGAUGUCAAGGAGAAACUCGGCUCCUUCACGGUGGAGCUGCCGAAGAAGCACGGUCGUGGUGGUCAGAGUAAGAACCGUUUCGCGCGCAUCCGUAUGGAGCGGCGCCACAACUACGUACGCAAGGUGGCCGAGACGGCGGUCAGCUACUUCAUCACGAACGACCGCCCGAACGUGCGCGGUCUCGUGCUCGCCGGUUCAGCCGACUUCAAGGAGGUGCUCUUCCAAUCCGACCUCUUCGACCCUCGUCUAAAGGAGGUAGUGGUGAAGAUCGUCGAUGUGGCGCAUCCGGGUGAUGUGGGGCUGAAUCAGGCCAUCGACCUCUCCGCCGACGCUCUGUCCGGCGUCAAGCUGGUGCAAGAGAAGAAGCUGCUGCAAACGUUCUUCGACCAGAUCGCGAUGGACACGCAGCAGUACUGCUUCGGUGUAAAUGACACAAUGCGCUGCCUGGAAGCGGGUGCGGUGGAGACGCUCAUCUGUUUCGAGGACCUCCAGGUGAACCGGUACGUCAUCAUCAAGAACAAGGGCGCUGAGGACGAGGCGACCGAAAUUCACCUCCUCACCGAGGCAGAAGCGAACAAGAAGAACAUCCACGCCCACGAAGCUGGCAAGACGCAGAACGAGAUCGAGUCGGAGAAUUUUGUGGACUGGCUUGCCCAGAACUACCAAAAGUUCGGCUGCACCCUGGAGCUCAUCAGCGACCGUAGCCAGGAGGGCACGCAGCUCGUGCGCGGCUUCGGCGGCAUUGGCGGCAUCCUGCGCUACAAGAUGGACGUCAUGGCGCUCCGAGACCAUGAGAAAAAAGAGGAGGAUGACGAUCGCAUCGCCGCGAACAACGAGGAGUUCGACUUCGACGACGACUUCAUGUAAGCUUCAGCCCUUUGCCUCGUCUACCCUCUGAAGAGGGGGACGGACGGGCGCGUCAACGUAUGUGUGUGUGUGUGUGCGGUGCGUGGCGGUAGUUGCCACCAAAGAGGGGGCGUGGGACUGGGUGAUGAACGGCAGGAUCGAAGAGAAGGUGCUUGCUCAAUCUCUAUCUCUGUAUGUGACAGCCUGUGGCUCCCUCGCCUCUCUUCUUCUCGCCCGCGCACGGGCCGUACUCGACUCAUGGCUCUUCCGGCUGCUGUUUUGCGUUUGCACGCGUCAGGCGUGCUUGAUGCCGCGCUGUCGCCCUUCUUUCGACAUUGUGUGCAUGUGCGUGUCCACUUCUUCAUGCCCUCGCGCCUGUGUGCAGCUGUGCGCACUGGUGGGUCUUCCUUGUUGCUGGGUGUUGCGUGGGGGGUGGCGGUUCAGCGCCGACGGCGGCAUUCCUCCGUGUCUGCCACACAGCACGCACUUCAUCGUGCCCGCAUCUGUGUGUCAUCAUACGGUGCAAGACACCGAGGGGGUAAUGCAAGGGGGGCGAGGGAGAGGAGGGAUGGGAGAGAGAGGGGGGAAGAGGGGUCGCAGCCCGGAGGUUCUUUGCAAUCAACAAAGUGGAACACGAGUGCGAAGGGGGAAGAUGACGAAGCGCCCGUGACGAAGAGAAUGCGGCGAGACCGAACGCAAUACAAACGCGCGCUCGUCAUUCAUGAUGCUUCUCGUCACCGCCGCUCUCUCUCUGUAUGUUUUCCCUCCCUCCCUCCCCCAUCCGCUCGUGUCUUCAGUGCCAUUCAAUGUACUCUUCGAGUUUAAGGUGGUGAUUAACACAACAACGAAAAAGAAGGCAAUUAAUGAGUCUAACUAACGUGCUACUGCACGUGAGCGAAGUGCAAAGCCAUAAACAAGC